rnacentral:tRNA from 1 species
GGCCGCGUGGCGCAAUGGAUAAUGCGUCUGCCUGCGGCGCAGAAGAUUGCAGGUUCGAAUCCUGCGUGGUCG